UACGAAGGGGGCUAGCGUUGCUCGGAAUCACUGGGCGUAAAGCGCACGUAGGCGGCUCUCUAAGUCAGGGGUGAAAUCCUGGAGCUCAACUCCAGAACUGCCUUUGAUACUGGCGAUCUUGAGUCCGGGAGAGGUGAGUGGAACUGCGAGUGUAGAGGUGAAAUUCGUAGAUAUUCGCAAGAACACCAGUGGCGAAGGCGGCUCACUGGCCCGGUACUGACGCUGAGGUGCGAAAGCGUGGGGAGCAAACAGG
rnacentral:rRNA from 1 species